UGGGGAAUAUUGGACAAUGGGCGCAAGCCUGAUCCAGCAAUGCCGCGUGUGUGAAGAAGGCCUUCGGGUUGUAAAGCACUUUAAGCAGGGAAGAAAAAACUCGGUCUAAUACAUCGAGUCUUGACGGUACCUGAAGAAUAAGCACCGGCUAACUCUGUGCCAGCAGCCGCGGUAAUACAGAGGGUGCUAGCGUUAAAUCGGAUUUACUGGGCGUAAAGCGUGUGUAGGUGGUUGUUCAAGUCAGUUGUGAAAUCCCUGGGCUUAACCUGGGAACUGCUUCUGAGACUGAACGACUAGAGUACGGUAGAGGGUGGUGGAAUUUCCGGUGUAGCGUGAAAUGCGUAGAUAUCGGAAGGAACAUCAAUGGCGAAGGCAGCCACCUGGGCCUGUACUGACACUGAGACACGAAAGCGUGGGGAUCAAACAGGAUUAGAUACCCUGGUAGUCCACGCCGUAAACAUGAGAACUUGACGUCGGUUUGCUCUGCAAGUCGGUGUCGUAGCUAACGCGAUAAGUUCUCCGCCUGGGGGAGU
rnacentral:rRNA from 1 species